ACCACUUCUCGGCCUUUGGGCUAAGAUCAAGUGUAGUAUCUGUUCUUAUCAGUUUAAUAUCUGAUACAUCCUCUAUCCAAGGAUAAUAUACUAAUGGAUUUUUGGAGCAGGGAGAUGGACUAGGAGCUUGCUCCAUCCACUCCAUCAAUACAUCAACCUGGUACUGCAGUACCUGGAAUGGUGUACCCCAC
rnacentral:snRNA from 1 species